ensembl:lncRNA
GCCCCCAAAUCUACGCCAGCUAUCACUUGAUUUGUUUGAAAUGCCUCGCUGAUGGCUUUGCAGGAAGCUGAAAUUUUACCAAGCGAGGUACAGCACAGCUGUGAGGUUCCCCCCUUUAGUAUUUGCUUCCAAACUUCACGAUUAUAACUCUGGAUUCUCCACACUCCAGCAAGUUUCCCACAAGACCUGAAAGAGGAGGUUUGUCUCGUGUCACUUGUUACUUCAAGGGCCACAUUCGAGCAUCUGUCAUGUUCAUGUUCUCAAGAAGUCGUUAGAACACACAUAAAUUUAGCAGACGCUUCAUGCACGGCUCCAAGCACUAGAAUAGCAAAUGGACGUCGUGGAGAAAGCCGCUGGCCUCAAGGAGCCCACAGCCUAGCAGGAGACACCACGUGCUUCGAGCCAUAAGGAGGAUGAGAGCCAGCAGCUACAGAGGCACCGGGGCUGGGGAGGCGGCCUCCUUGAUGUGUGCCCCCGGGCCGUGGGGUGAGGGUCUUCUGGACUCCAAGAACAGGGAAAGCCCUUCCAAGGGCAUCAGGCCUGAGCUGGGCAUGGACUGUAGCAUCACGGGAUGGUCCAGAGGCAGUGCCAUGCGGCUGCCACCACGGACAAUCACGAACAGUCUGAGGCAGCAAAUUGCAAGUCUGUGUCUUCAAUGAAGGGGAAACUUUUCCUACCUAAACUCCCGAGGUUCUGAAACCCCUCUGCCUCCAGCUCAGUGAAGGCAGAGGACAGACCCACAGUGGAAACGUUGUCGUCCUUCUGGGCAAGUCUUCCUAGAAGAGAGCCGAGGAACUCUCUGUUCUCCAGGCGACCGCACUGGAGGCUUGGGAAGCCCCGCAACCUCGCAGCAGCCGAUGCUCUGAGACGGUGGCUCGUCGCCCGCAGCAGUCUUUCCAAGGACCCGGUCUCGAGCUCUGCUGCUCCCGCUGAAUCCAAUGGGUCUUGUUCAAACUGCACCCGGGACUGUGGCGUGGCGUGCAUGUUCGGAGCCUGGGCCCAGAGCCGGCUGUCCCGCUUCUAAUCUGCCGCUGGAGACACAGACCGCUUUAAGCCCCACGCCUCUCCUGCUGAUGAUGGGGAAAGCUGGCCUCACACUCCAACCCCCCACCACCCCAGACCUGACAGGGAAGAGAAGCUCAGGGAACAGCCGCAGGGGAGCGGCCAGCGGCGCAUUCCUGGUCCCCGUGAGCCGGCUGGUCGGCAGGCGCCGGACCUCUGCCAAGGAGGGCGACAGGAGCGGAACCUGGGGAUGGAGGGCGGCAUGCCCAGGGCCAGGGCGAGCGAGGCCUUCUGGGGAGUCCCCUGGCCACAUCCUCAAGGGUCGCCUUCGGGUCUCCCCCAAGGGAGUUUCCAGCAUCGGCUCCAAACGAGUGGAAGUCCGGCCCCAUCCUCCAACUUCCUGUCGGCAAGUCCGGGCCUCGGCUAGCCCAUUCAGCCAGAAGGCGCCUGGCGGAGGGCUCCAGCGUUCGCUCUUGCCUUCCCCUCCUCCAGCCUCUUCUCCCUCUGGCCUCCACCCAGCUCCACGGUGACCAUCCUUCAGGUGGAAUUCCCUCCCCAGCGGCAGCGGAUGCAUCUCCCUCUUCCCAGCCCAAGGGACCUUUCCUCCUAUGGGCAGGCACAGCCCGCACUGGGCGCAUCCCGUCCCGGCCCCCGAGUAGAGUGUAAGCUCUGUGUGGGCCAAAGCGAAGACUGCACAUGGUUAUUUCCACCCCACGCGCCUCCCCCUGGCACAGAGGUGGAGCAGGCACUAGGUAAACACUUACUGGUGGAGGAGAAGGAAACAGCUCCAAGGUGCAAUGCGCCGAUUUCCUGACACUCCAGGUCACCUGGUGGAGCAAGGACAUUGUUCUGAGAAGUCUGCACCCAUAAAGAUAAGGGAGAGAGGAAAGGCCAUACACCAUAAUUUCUCCCAUGUUACUGCAGAUGAUUUCAUAUCGAAAUGGAAGGUGGAGGGGAGGCAGGAAUGACGGCACCCUAGACGGAGCAGGGCCCCGAGGGGCGGGGGAAUCUGUAAUUGGUGACCGCAACUUGCUCCUGCACUUUCAAGGUGCGGUUCUCCAGGGAAUAAAAAUAAAUGUUUUUUCUCAAAAUUGAAGGGAAGUUACAGUAAAGAUGCCUGUGGGGGCGUGUAUCUUCCGAGCGGACAUCUCCAGGGCCGGCAGUGGGGAGCACGUGCAGCCUCUCCCUGAGGGGGCUCCGUCACCAGCCCCCGGGGCUGGCGGUGAACCGAGGGCCGGUGGAAAACAACAGUCAGCUUCAGAGACACAGGGUGAGAACCAGCACCGUUUAACUCCUUGUCCGGACAAACUAACAAAUGCCAUUUUGAUGACAAGGUGGCCUCUGGAGAGGAGAGAGGGCAGCAGCCACGGUCCAUCUAAACACCUGCA